rnacentral:lncRNA from 1 species
AUGCAGAGAGUGAUUAAAACAGGUACUAAAUCUGAAUGCUGUUCUUGUGUCAGUUUUGUCUGGGAAUAUAUGUGCAAGAAAGAUUUGUUCAUGUUUCCUUGCUCUGUGCCAAGAGCAUCUCUUACAGUGAUGGACCUUUGGAAUCUUUCUUUGGCUUUACAGAUAUCGGUUGUCACCCUACCAGGACUUCAGGAAGGAAAGCCAAACCCAGCAAUGCUUCACCAAGACAGCAGACCUGAGCUGUGCUCAGACCCCUGGUUACUGUGCUCUCCUGUGUUGAGACAGGCCUUCUCUUCUCUCCCUGGUAGAUGGUCACCACUCCAAAGGAACGAGCUCAGCUCUCAUGCUGGCGUGAUGUGCCAUAUGCUGGCAGGUAGCGUGCUGCCCAGGAACAUGGAAUUGAAUCUCUUCUGAAUGGAGUUAACCACUGAAUGUCCAGGUGGAAAGGAUGAGAUGCCAUUUUCUGUGGCUUGUUUUGAUAUUUACCUGCUCUUGGAGACAGGUAAAUGUCUCAGGACAGAACAGUCAGUGCUGUGGUCAGCCACAAAAGCAGUGCUGAGGUUGCCCUGGUGUGUGAUGCCUUCCUGUGGCAGAGGGACACGGACCCCUGAGCCAGCCACUGCCAGGCUCUGUACAUGGGGCCAUGUGUUGCUGACUUGUGCCUAACCCUGCUGCAGGGGUGUGCUUCAUGGCUGAAAGGCUUUUUCUGCCUGUGCUGAUGCAGCCAGGCUCUGUCUUAAUUCAAGCUGUUGUUUGCCCUCAUCUCUCCUGGGUUGUGUUCAGAUAACAUGCCUGUUCUUGGAGCAGUUGAGUUUUUUUAGGCAUGAGGAGAUGGUUGAAACCUCUCCUGUGGACAGACUUUGCGCGGAAAAGUGGUCAGUGCCUGGCAUGAUUUCUCCCACCCUGCCCUUUAUAAACAUGCUGUCUGAUACCAUGUCCCAGGCAGUUGGUUCUGCUCGACUUUUUGUCACUGAAAAGCCAGGUUUUUAUCUGAAAAGGUCUCAUGGAGACUAGGAGAUCUCUAGACCUCUUCAGCAUCUCAUCUGUCCUCUCUUGUUCUCCUGCUGCAACCUCCUGGAACAGCCUGGCAGGAUUUGCGGUAACCUUAGAAGCAGAGUGCUGUCCCAGCAUGACCUUUGGGCAGUGUCGUAAGCCUGUGCAUGGACCUUUCACUUACCUCUGCACAACUUGCCCAUGGUGCACCAGGAGAAGAUUAAAGACAAACUGGCAGUUUGUUUUGGAUCAUGUAAGUCUCUGCAGAUCCGUGCUAGGGAUGCAUUUGUGCACUUGGAGUACAUGGCUCAGCAGCUCUAGCACCACACACAGCUCAUGCAGAGCUAGUGGUGUGAGGAUUGCCAAGGAAGAUGACCAGUAAGGGUUUUGGGUAAGAUGGACUCUAGGAGAAAACAUCCUA